UACGGAGGGUGCAAGCGUUACCCGGAAUCACUGGGCGUAAAGGGCGUGUAGGCGGGAUGUUAAGUAUGGUUUUAAAGACUGCGGCUCAACCGCAGGGAUGGACUGGAUACUGGCAUUCUUGACCUCUGGAGAGAGAACUGGAAUUCCUGGUGUAGCGGUGGAAUGCGUAGAUACCAGGAGGAACACCAAUGGCGAAGGCAGGUUCUUGGACAGAAGGUGACGCUGAGGCGCGAAAGUGUGGGGAGCGAACCGG
rnacentral:rRNA from 1 species